UAGCCGGCCACCUCCUCCCCUUUGCUUCAUUUCUUCUCACUCUCCACUCCCUCACACUCUCCUCCUGCCCUCCACCACGAAAUGGUGCUGCCCCUUGCUCCCAUGGCCGGCCAUGGCCAUGAAAACCAGCCAAGAUGCAGCUCCCCUCCUUCCUCAAGCUUCCCCUCACCAUGAGAGCUUCCCUCUCACUCUCUUCUCCCCUAAUCUUUGAUGAGUCCAGCUCACUUUCUCCUUUCUCCUCUCACUAGAUUGGAUCUUGAUGCAGGUGCAUGUUGGUCCAAGCAUGGAGAAGGUUGAGCUAUCCUCAGAUCUGAAGUUCUUGAGCAAAAUCCAAAUCGAGUGAUUCAAAGUUCCGCAGAUAGGUAUUGAAAAGAUCUACAACUUGGCGUUGGUCUCAUCCUCAAAUUCUUUACGGAUUUUGCAUGAUCAAGAUCUGGUCAGAUCUGACUUUGUCGAAUUAAACCAGGAGCUUGGAAACGAAUUUUUGAAUGAAACCAAUUGGGGGAUAAUUGGUUUAUACCAUGGUGAUAACCGAGAGAGGCAAUUGCUAAGUUGUGAUGCACUCAUACCUUUACUAGAUACGAACAAUUCCGGAGAAGAAGAAGAAGUGGAAUCGGACGAGGAUUUUAUUUAUAUAUGUUGUUGGGAUUCUUAUAUGGAUGGAGUUGAAGAAGUACAGGGACAAAUAAGCCAAGGCAAGCCAUCUUUUGAUCUCUUGCUAUUUAUCCUUCUUGUUGUGCUCAUUGCUCCAUUAUAUACUUGGUUCCUUGUAUCAUGUGUGAUUUUUGGUCCUCUACUCUAUGCAUACUUAUUCCCAAAGUAUGUUGAAC